UUUAAGUACUAUAAUAACGUCUUACUUUAGCCGGUGCUAGAGGCUUUGAUGAGGGGGUGAGGGGAGGGGUGCUACAUAUUUCAUUUCUUAUGCAAAGUGAAUCAGCUAGCUAUUAUUUUGCAUCGUUCAGAAUUCCCAUAUGUCAAACCGGCAGUUAUACAGAGUGGCUUUUAGAGUUGUACAGUUUUAGGAACUUUCAUAAAAAGACGCUAAGCGUGCAUAAAGAUAAUUAAGGAUCCUUUGGUGAGACAAAGUCAAAACUGGUUGUCAGGGAAGUUCGCCGAAUAUGAUUACACAAAUGAUGCUAUAUUUGAAUCAUUUCGAGACUACCCGAGGAAGAAACAGCUGUACCGUAAACA
rnacentral:misc_RNA from 1 species